rnacentral:lncRNA from 1 species
CAAGAAGUCUAAACUAACUAGUAUAAUGACCACUAAAGUAGCCCCUCCCCUUAGAACAUACCUAUGCCUUAAUAGGUAAAACAAAAGGGGACAAAACAGAAAGGUGUGCUCCCUCUUUCCCUUCUACAAUGAUGGACUCUCCCAAAAGCUUGGACUCCCUCUGUUCUACUAGAGCUGGAAGGGUGAAGGUCAGAAUGUCUCAUGAAGAUAACAAUCAGCCUCAUCUUCUCUAACGGCCACUAAUGCGAUGAUAUUUAACAGCUCAACACGCUUGGAGGAGAGCACUAACUACCUGUUCUGCUAAUCAGGUAAAACAUUCUCUCAUACUCUCACCUACUAGCAUUGAACCAUUCUACACACUACUGGCUAUGGAUG